rnacentral:lncRNA from 1 species
AUGCAGGGCUCAGCUCCCGCAGGAAUCCCCACUGUGCAGGGAGCAGGUGAUAGUGCAGUGAUGAGCCACCUGGCUGGUAGGUCCAGCCUCCUAUUGUCAUCUUUCUGCCUCAUCUUCCUUCCUGCUGAGUUCUUCAUUUGGGGUCCAACUACCAGUUUGCUGCUGCUUAAAGAUGAACAACAAAGCAAUGCACACUCCUCGUUAAACAAACCAGACAGCCUUCAGGCAUACAAAGAAGAUAAAAAUUGCCCUUUGUCCCCAGAGCAAGAGUCUCAUCUGUUGCUUAACAGAAUUUUCCUCUCCAAGGUACAGCAAUGGCUUCAGGGUCAGAAGAGAAGGCAAUGCGAAUGCUGCCAUUACGUGGGCCUUUGCUCUCUGACCCCACGUUCGAGCUUAGAAUCUCAAGGAUUCUCUUUCACCUUGCUCCUGCUGUUGUUGAAUUCCUCAGGAAUCAUGAAGUCCUGAGGUGACUAGUCUUGCUCAAGCCUCGGAGACAGACACACAGAGCUGGGUCUAAUCCUGAGGAUUGCUUCACUUUGCUGACUCAGCCACCCAGUCUCUAAGCAACUGUGUCUCCGUCUGUAAAAUGGGAUAAAGACAGCCACCCUCAAGGGCAAUUGGGUUGGAAUGGUGCCUGUCCUUUCUCUGCCUAUCUUUGUACCACCAUCUCCAUCCCCUCCCAUUCUGCCCCCACUUUUCACUUUCUGUUCUACAUUGUAGAGGGCUCCCUUGACUGUGCCUGUCAGGUAGGUUUGGUCAAAUGAGCAGAAGGCUGAAGAGUGGAGGCUGGGGAAGCCAUUCUCUUGUCAUCUUCCUUUGCUUACAGGUAGCGUCUCAGGCAGUGGUGGCUCCAGUUCCUGCUGGUGGCAUCAGAUCAUUGGCUCAGGUACACCUACCUUACUCUGUUGUCCUCUCUUGUCCAGGCCUAGUGGUGGCAACAAUAGCUUCUAGCUGUCUUAGUCCCAGUUUGGCCCCUCAACAAUUCAAAGUUCAAAAGCCAGUUCCUUACAUUAAGCUCCCUGUGUUGAAAGGCCUGGGGUGGUUGUGGUUUUAUACUAAGGCCCUAUGCUAUAUGGAAACAACAAGCAGAGCUGUGUCGGGCAGUGCUUAGAUAAUGUCUCAGAGCACUGUGGUCUGCAGCCAUGGCCCCUUAUGAACUUGUGAUGGUUUUACUGGGUAAAUCAAGGAUUUCAUAAGGCCUGCUUUCUACCUCUUGACCCAACAGGCUCUUUUCCAUUUUGUGGUAGCAUAGCCUAGGAGUAUGGAGGUACGCUCUGGAGUAAGAGAGGCAGCUCUGCUUUGAAUCUCAGAUUCAUCAUUACUGGAUGGGUGACAUUGAGCCACAUUUGGGGUUGGUGUAGCUCAGUGGUAGGGCAUCUGCCUAGAAUGUACAGGGUCCUGGCUUCUAUCCCAGCACUGAAACACAAAAGAAAACAAACAGCUCCAGCUGUAGUAUUUAUAGCUAGGGGAUAAGGAUGGCUAAUUAAUGGAGGUGAUGCAUGCUCAGUCUUUGAUGUGUAUAAGUGAUCCCAUUUAUUGAAUAUUAUGAUUAAAACUACUACCACAGCCCCGUCAAGAAACACAAGGGUCUUUUCACUUGGAUUUGUGUUGUGGGAUAUUUGAACACUGUGAAAAUGUAUUACUGUGAUUGGCAAAAUAAAAAGCUGAACAGCCAAUAGCUAGGCA